UACGGAGGAUGCAAGCGUUAUCCGGAAUGAUUGGGCGUAAAGCGUCCGCAGGUGGCAAUGUAAGUCUGCUGUCAAAGCGUCUGGCUCAACCAGAUAAAGGCAGUGGAAACUACAUAGCUAGAGUAAGGUAGGGGUAGAGGGAAUUCCUGGUGUAGCGGUGAAAUGCGUAGAGAUCAGGAAGAACACCGGUGGCGAAAGCGAUCUGCUGGACCUUAACUGACACUGAGGGACGAAAGCUAGGGGAGCGAAUGGG
rnacentral:rRNA from 1 species